AUUGAACGCUGGCGGCAUGCUUUACACAUGCAAGUCGAACGGGCUUGGGGGCUUGCUCCCAAGUUAGUGGCGAACGGGUGAGUAAUACAUCGGAACGUACCGUGUAGUGGGGGUAACGUAGCGAAAGUUACGCUAAUACCGCAUACAAUCUACGGAUGAAAGCAGGGGACCUUCGGGCCUUGUGCUAUACGAGCGGCCGAUGUCUGAUUAGCUAGUUGGUGAGGUAAAGGCUCACCAAGGCGACGAUCAGUAGCGGGUCUGAGAGGAUGAUCCGCCACACUGGGACUGAGACACGGCCCAGACUCCUACGGGAGGCAGCAGUGGGGGAAUUUUGGACAAUGGGCGAAAGCCUGAUCCAGCCAUGCCGCGUGUCUGAAGAAGGCCUUCGGUU
rnacentral:rRNA from 1 species